UACGUAGGGGGCAAGCGUUGUCCGGAUUUAUUGGGCGUAAAGAGCGUGUAGGCGGCCAUACAGGUCAGCUGUGAAAACUCGAGGCUCAACCUCGAGACGUCGGUUGAAACCGUAUGGCUAGAGUCCGGAAGAGGAGAGUGGAAUUCCCGGUGUAGCGGUGAAAUGCGCAGAUAUCGGGAAGAACACCCGUGGCGAAGGCGGCUCUCUGGGGCGGUACUGACGCUGAGACGCGAAAGCGUGGGGAGCGAACAGG
rnacentral:rRNA from 1 species